ACGUAGGGUGCGAGCGUUAAUCGGAAUUACUGGGCGUAAAGCGUGCGCAGGCGGCUCUGUAAGACAGAUGUGAAAUCCCCGGGCUCAACCUGGGAACUGCAUUUGUGACUGCAGGGCUGGAGUGCGUCAGAGGGAGGUGGAAUUCCGCGUGUAGCAGUGAAAUGCGCAGAGAUGCGGAGGAACACCGAUGGCGAAGGCAGCCUCCUGGGCCAGUACUGACGCUCAUGCACGAAAGCGUGGGGAGCAAACAG
rnacentral:rRNA from 1 species